GUUUGCGGCAAACUUGCCGCAACCAUUUUACCAUGCAAAUGAAGUUUGCGGCAAGCUUGCGGCAAACAUAAUUAUGCAAAUUAGAUUUGCCGCAAGCUUGCGGCAAUUGUUUGCUGCAAGCUUGCGGCAAUUGUUUGUUGCAAACUUGCGGCAAACUUGCAGGAACUACACAUAUACCAAUGUCAUGUGUGUAGACACAUUCAAUUUAUCUCUUUCAAAUUACACAGCA
rnacentral:lncRNA from 1 species